rnacentral:rRNA from 1 species
AGUGAACGCUGGCGGUAGGCCUAACACAUGCCAGUCGAACGGCAGCACAGUAAGAGCUUGCUCUUACGGGUGGCGAGUGGCGGACGGGUGAGGAAUACAUCGGAAUCUACUUUUUCGUGGGGGAUAACGUAGGGAAACUUACGCUAAUACCGCAUACGACCUACGGGUGAAAGCAGGGGAUCUUCGGACCUUGCGCGAUUGAAUGAGCCGAUGUCGGAUUAGCUAGUUGGCGGGGUAAAGGCCCACCAAGGCGACGAUCCGUAGCUGGUCUGAGAGGAUGAUCAGCAACACUGGAACUGGGACACGGUCCAGACUCCAACGGAAGGCAGCGGUGGGAAAUAUUGGCCAAGGGGCGCAGGCCGAAUCCAGCCAUACCGCGUGGUUGAAGAAGGCCUUCGGUUGGUAAAGCCCUUUUUUUGGAAAGAAAAGCAGCAGGUUAAUACCCCGCUGUUCUGACGGUACCCAAAGAAUAAGCACCGGCUAACUUCGUG